rnacentral:rRNA from 1 species
UACGAAGGGUGCAAGCGUUACUCGGAAUUACUGGGCGUAAAGCGUGCGUAGGUGGUUCGUUAAGUCUGUCAUGAAAGCCCCGGGCUCAACCUGGGAAUGGCGAUGGAUACUGGCGGGCUAGAGUGCGGUAGAGGGUGGUGGAAUUCCCGGUGUAGCAGUGAAAUGCGUAGAGAUCGGGAGGAACAUCAGUUGCGAAGGCGGCCACCUGGACCAGCACUGACACUGAGGCACGAAAGCGUGGGGAGCAAACAGG